CAGCCGCGCGGGAAUACGAAGGGGGCUAGCGUUGCUCGGAAUCACUGGGCGUAAAGGGUGCGUAGGCGGGUUUCUAAGUCAGGGGUGAAAUCCUGGAGCUCAACUCCAGAACUGCCCUUGAUCCUGGAAGUCUUGAGUAUGGGAGAGGUGAGUGGAACUGCGAGUGUAGAGGUGAAAUUCGUAGAUAUUCGCAAGAACACCAGUGGCGAAGGCGGCUCACUGGCCCAUAACUGACGCUGAGGCACGAAAGCGUGGGGAGCAAACAGGAUUAGAUACCCGAGUAGUCCCUGUCUCUUAUACC
rnacentral:rRNA from 1 species